rnacentral:rRNA from 1 species
GUAGGUGGCAAGCGUUGUCCGGAAUUAUUGGGCGUAAAGCGCGCGCAGGUGGUUCUUUAAGUCUGAUGUGAAAGCCCCCGGGCUCAACCGGGGAGGGUCAUUGGAAACUGGGGGACUUGAGUGCAGGAGAGGAAAGUGGAAUUCCACGUGUAGCGGUGAAAUGCGUAGAUAUGUGGAGGAACACCAGUGGCGAAGGCGACUUUCUGGCCUGUAACUGACACUGAGGCGCGAAAGCGUGGGGAGCAAACAGGAUUAGAUACCCUGGUAGUCCACGCCGUAAACGAUGAGUGCUAAGUGUUGGGGGGUUUCCGCCCCUCAGUGCUGCAGCUAACGCAUUAAGCACUCCGCCUGGGGAGUACGGUCGCAAAGACUG